rnacentral:rRNA from 1 species
UACGUAGGCAGCAAGCGUUGUUCGGAAUUACUGGGCGUAAAGAGUGUGUAGGCGGUGCUCUAAGUUUGUCGUGAAAUCUCUCGGCUUAACUGGGAGGGUGCGGCGAAAACUGGAGUGCUAGAGGGUGGGAGAGGAAAGCGGAAUUCCUGGUGUAGCGGUGAAAUGCGUAGAUAUCAGGAGGAACACCUGCGGUGAAGGCAGCUUUCUGGACCACUUCUGACGCUGAGACACGAAAGCGUGGGUAGCAAACAGG